ACCUGACUGCUAUCGGAUUGAUACUAAGCCAUGCGAGUCAUUGUAGCAAUACAAGGCAGACGGCUCAGUAACGCGUAGUCAACCUAACCUAUGGACGGGAAUAACCUCGGGAAACUGAGAAUAAUGCCCGAUAGAACACUAUACCUGGAAUGGUUUGUGUUCCAAAUGAUUUAUCGCCGUAGGAUGGGACUGCGGCCUAUCAGUUUGUUGGUGAGGUAAUGGCCCACCAAGACUAUUACAGGUACGGGCUCUGAGAGGAGUAGCCCGGAGAUGGGUACUGAGACACGGACCCAGGCCCUAUGGGGCGCAGCAGGCGAGAAAACUUUGCAAUGUGCGAAAGCACGACAAGGUUAAUCCGAGUGGUUUGUGCUAAACAGACCUUUUGUUAGUCCUAGAAACACUAACGAAUAAGGGGUGGGCAAGUUCUGGUGUCAGCCGCCGCGGUAAAACCAGCACCUCAAGUGGUCAGGAUGAUUAUUGGGCCUAAAGCAUCCGUAGCCGGCUCUGUAAGUUUUCGGUUAAAUCUGUAUGCUCAACAUACAGGCUGCCGGGAAUACUGUAGAGCUAGGGAGUGGGAGAGGUAGACGGUACUCGGUAGGAAGGGGUAAAAUCCUUUGAUCUAUUGAUGACCACCUGUGGCGAAGGCGGUCUACCAGAACACGUCCGACGGUGAGGGAUGAAAGCUGGGGGAGCAAACCGGAUUAGAUACCCGGGUAGUCCCAGCUGUAAACUAUGCAAACUCAGUGAUGCAUUGGCUUGUGGCCAAUGCAGUGCUGCAGGGAAGCCGUUAAGUUUGCCGCCUGGGAAGUACGUACGCAAGUAUGAAACUUAAAGGAAUUGGCGGGGGAGCACCACAAGGGGUGAAGCCUGCGGUUC
rnacentral:rRNA from 2 species